CGUGGGUAACCUGCCUCAUACAGGGGAGUAACAGUUAGAAAUGACUGCUAAUACCGCAUAAGCGCACAGCAUCGCAUGAUGCCGUGUGAAAAACUCCGGUGGUAUGAGAUGGACCCGCGUCUGAUUAGCUAGUUGGUGAGGUAACGGCCCACCAAGGCGACGAUCAGUAGCCGACCUGAGAGGGUGACCGGCCACAUUGGGACUGAGACACGGCCCAA
rnacentral:rRNA from 1 species